GAGAGACUCAAAGAUGGGACAAAUGUGUCAUUUAAAUGCCUGUUAAAAUGGAAACAGACAUAGUAUAGUCAGAGGAUUGUGGCAGCUAAGAACAUAGUCUCUGGAGCAAAUCUGCAUGGGUGGCAAUGCCAAGCACAUGAGGUCCUAGUUGUAUGAACUUAGGAAAAGAAAAAGAGAACAUAUAUCCCCCUACCUUUUGAUUUCCAACAGUCUACUGAGAGGCCAAGAUUAUUUGCAGGGAAAGAAAAGGGGAAUGCCAUCCCCACCCUCUCGCAGCUACGUGCCAGUUCCAGAGCACCUGUUCCCCUCUACUUUGAAAAGGUCAAAAUGUUUUGCCAGUAACUCCCAAAUCAUCUACAGCCAAGGAGAAAAGUGUUUCAAGACAGAGGUGCUCAAUGGUAUCAAAUACUGCCAACAGACCAAGUAAUACAUGCAUUGAAGUGUCUACUGGAUCUAGCUAUAUGAAUUUUUAAUUUAGGACACUUAGGCCAUACUGAAGCAAGGUGACAAAAUGAAUAGCUACAAUGUCUCGUGAAUCUUGGGUUUCCAUUCACCCUGGUAUUCAAGAGAAAUUCUUGCAUCAUGGAAGUUGCAGUUGGAUAGGACUUUCUCAGCUGAACACUGUCAUCUGCCAGAGCUUCAGGCAAGAACCCAGAACAGAUGAAACCCCAGACAUGACAAAAUAAGCCAAAGAAUACCAGGCCAAGGUGUGAAAGGCCAGAUGAGAACAAGCAGCGUACACGAUUCUGUUGCCAACAGAUCUCCCCUAACAGUGUCGUGCACCAAAUUUCCACAGUGAAUGUCAGGAAAAAAUGGCAAUUGAGGUGGGUGGUCAAAAGAGAAGCACAGUCUAUGAUGAAGUCACCCCAGAGAAGUCCUUUUUCCGUUUUCUCCUGAGAAAUUACCAGAAGAAAUUAAAAUCCUUUUGAGUAUUG
rnacentral:lncRNA from 1 species